GACGCAUUCAUCAUUUAUGCUGGCCCGUGCUACGAAUGGCAUGCCAGAGCAAGAAGACCAAAGAAGCACUGGUCGCCAGGUGGUGCUGCCACUUCCUACCCAGUCACGGCGGCAGCAAAAGAGUGAGGACCGGCUGUGGUGGCAGCAGCAGCAUGACCACCGCCAACAACAACAUGAAGAGGGCGGCAACAUACUCACCUCAAGAAAAAAUGGAAGAGGCGACCUGAUGAGUU
rnacentral:ribozyme from 1 species